GAUGGUGGGAUCAUCUCUGAUACAGCUCCCAGCUGGAGAUCAGCUCCUCUGAAGAUGCCCUGUGUGAGAAGCACCUUGUAGGCCACAAGGACACCGUGUUCACUCCGGGAGCUCUGGCUGUGUCUGGUCCUGUUGAAGCUGCACACGUGUGAGAGCCAGCUGGGUCACGUUCCCUUCCUGGCCUGGAGGGUCUACUGAGGAGUGAGGAAGACCAAGGCUUGACUGAGGGCAGCAAUGAGAUGGUCCCACAGUUCUCAGGGUCUUGGACUCAGUGGAUUGUGAAGAGUCUAUUGUCACACUAGAAGUGUCUGCAAUAGAAAAUGAGUCAAAAGGGAAUGGAAAUAAUAGUACAGAAGUAGAGUCUUUUCAAAUAUUUCUAUUUUCUCUGGAAAAUUUGUUCUAACUAAUGUA